rnacentral:rRNA from 1 species
GAGUUUGAUCGUGGCUCAGAUUGAACGCUGGCGGCAUGCCUUACACAUGCAAGUCGAACGGCAGCACGGGAGCUUGCUCCUGGUGGCGAGUGGCGAACGGGUGAGUAAUGCAUCGGAACGUAUCCUGGAGUGGGGGAUAACGUAGCGAAAGUUACGCUAAUACCGCAUAUUCUGUGAGCAGGAAAGCGGGGGACCUUCGGGCCUCCGCGCUCUUGGAGCGGCCGAUGUCGGAUUAGCUAGUUGGUAGAGGUAAAGGCUCACCAAGGCGACGAUCCGUAGCAGGUCUGAGAGGAUCGAUCUGCCACACUGGAACUGAGACACGGUCCAGACUCCUACGGGAGGCAGCAGUGGGAAUUUUGGACAAUGGGGGCAACCCUGAUCCAGCCAUGCCGCGUGAGUGAAGAAGGCCU